CAGCUGGCUCGGUGGGUGGAGCAUGAGACUCUUGAUCUCAGGGUUGUAGGUUCAAGCCCCACCCAGUUGG
rnacentral:tRNA from 1 species